CGGCUAAUUACGUGCCAGCAGCCGCGGUAAUACGUAUGGGGCUAGCGUUGUUCGGAUUUAUUGGGCGUAAAGGGCACGCAGGCUGUUUGUUAAGUUUGUGGUUUAAUCUUCGGGCUCAACCCGGAGCAUGCCAUGAAAACUGGCAGACUUGAGUAUCAGAGGGGAAAGCGGAAUUCUCGGUGUAGCGGUGGAAUGCGUAGAUAUCGAAAGGAACACCAGUGGCGAAGGCGGCUUUCUGGCUGAUUACUGACGCUCAUGUGCGAAAGCGUGGGGAGCAAACAGGAUUAGAUACCCU
rnacentral:rRNA from 1 species